rnacentral:lncRNA from 1 species
GGGGCUCCCAAGGCGGCCGGCGAGACCUGUGCGCGCUGCGGGGUCAGGGAGUGCUUCCCGGGGAGGUGGCCUCUUGCCUGGAGUGUUCGAGGAGUGCGGUUACCCAGGGAGGCCCAGAGACCUCAUCCUCCUGGGGCUCCCAGAAACUUCUAGUUCAGUAGGACUCUGUGAAGGAGGGGAAGAGAGGAAGUGAGGAGAGGGGCGUGCCGGGGAAGGAGGGCUCGGUCUGGGCCCUGAGCAGGUGUGCAGGGGCUCUUAGGACUGUGGUCUGCACCCCGCAGGUGAGUUCUCAGGCUUUCAGGAUUUUCCACACCAGUAAAAGCCGGGGCUUCGGGUUUCUCCAAGGAAAAGCUUAAAACAACACACACACGGGGCGCCUGGGUGGCUCCGUGGAUUAAGCAUCGGACUCCCGAGUUCAGCGUGGGUCAUGCUCGAGGUCUCCCGGUUGUGGGAUGUGCGGCUCUGCUCCGAGUAUGGGGCCUGCUUAAGAGUCUCCCUCUCCCUCUGCCCCUCCCCUGCUCGCACUGUCUCUUAAAUUAAUUAAGUACAUAAUCACCCAACACACAUCCAUUUAUUUUUACCAUAAUUUCAGAAAAGAUGAAAACCAAGAAAAGGAGGAAGGAGAAAUCCUCAGAAUGCAGACAGCUCCGUAAGUGGAGUUAAUUUGGAAUAUUAACCAGCCGCCUUCCUGUCUCCUGCCCCCAAGAACCAGUGACAAUGGCAGUGGGCCUGGGAGCCUUCAAGGAUUGGAGGAAGGGAGGUGAACUGGAUGGAAAGCUUCCUUCUCAGGGUACAAACGCAGGAAGUUACUCAGCAAAAUGAUGCCUGGUGGAGACUCCAGAAGGCUCAGGGAUCACGGGGGGGAUGUCUAUUUGCGGCAGGCAAUACAGAAGAGAGCAGGACCUGGAUGUUGGGGGUUUUACACGCUUCCACAAGGGGCUGGACCACAGACUGCUUGUCACUUGAAAGGGGAAGAACGUGGUCUUGCAGUGAGGAUCUAGUUGCUGCCCCUUUGACCCAGUGGCAGAUCUCCACAUCGUAGUGGAUGACCAGGCAUGUGGUCACGGUGCACAAGGUCACGUAGCACAAAAAAGGUCUACUCAAGACUUUACAUGGAACGUUCAGUUCACAGAGAAGACAAGAAACAAGUUAAAUGACACUACAUGAAAGACAGUCAGGCAAAGAUAGAAGGUGAGACCUUCGGGGCACCUGGGUAGCUCAGGUCACGGUCUCACAGUUUGUGAGUUCAAGCCCCGCGUUGGGCUCCCUGCUGUCAACACAGAGCCUGCUUUGGAUCCUCUGUCCCCCUCUCUCUACCCCUCCCCUGCUUGUGCUCUCUCAAACAAAAUAAAUAAAAGAAGGUGGGACCUUUCA